CACACACACACACACACACACACACACACACACACACACACACACACACUCCUCCCUAACGUUCAUUCCGCUCUAACAGGUGACGGUGAAGGUGUGUGUGUGAGCUGAUGUGGACGUGAAUUCAGCAGAAUGGACCAGUGUGAGGACAGAGAGGACGGAGUCCCUCCCUCUAAAACCUCUCUGUGUGGGGAACAUGAGAGUCGGAGCAAAGCUCAGAGGAAUCAACCUGGACCUGGACCUGGACCUGGACCUGGACCUGGACCUGGACC